AUUGAACGCUGGCGGCAGGCCUAACACAUGCAAGUCGAACGAGUGGCGGACGGGUGAGUAAUGUCUGGGAAACUGCCCGAUGGAGGGGGAUAACUACUGGACACGGUAGCUAAUACCGCAUACCAUCGGAUGUGCCCAGAUGGGAUUAGCUAGUUGGUGGGGUAACGGCUCACCUAGGCGACGAUCCCUAGCUGGUCUGAGAGGAUUACCAGCCACACUGGAACUGAGACACGGUCCAGACUCCUACGGGAGGCAGCAGUUGGGAAGAUUGCACAAUGGGCGAAAGCCUGAUGCAGCCAUGCCGCGUGUAUGAAGAAGGCCUUCGGGUUGUAAAGUACUUUCAGCGGGGAGGCGUUACCCGCAGAAGAAGCACCGGCUAACUCCGUGCCAGCAGCCGCGGUAAUUC
rnacentral:rRNA from 1 species